rnacentral:lncRNA from 1 species
CAUCUUAACUUUAGUAUUUUUCCAUUUUAUUUACAAAAUUUAAAACGUGCAUAAAAAUAAGAGUCAUCUUACUAAAUUCACGACGUUCAUAACAUAGAUGGACUGUGUGAUUCAAGUAUCUGAUGAGAUUUACGAUGAAUCAUGCACUAUCUACUUCUUUUACUACUGAAAAAACGGAUCCUUCUUUAGAAAUUCGUAAAGCAUAUGUUAGCGUAGCAUUAUUCAAAGAGUCUACGAUUAAGUGCGUGUUAGUUUUGCCGAAAGUGAAGUUACGAUUGAAAUAGAUGUUUAGUUGAACUAGAGUAUAUAUGUUCAAGUGAAAAGUAUUUCUUUCCUAUUAUUUGCUUUCAUUAGUGUGGAACUGAAGUUUAUGCAGUUUUAU